CAACAGCAGACCUACAAUCAAUGAAGCGUCCAACAAUCAAUGAUGCGUCCAACAGUCUGUUCCACACAACGUACAGCAAACAAACUAUAAAGAUUUCCAUAGCAAUUACUUAACGGGUAGGAUAAGGAAGGUUAAGGUAUGGCAGGUUGAUGUCAUGUUGCUCUGCCUAUAAAAAUCCAUUCUUAAAUGGAAGAAGUUUGGAACCACAAAGACCCUUCCUAGAGCUGGCCACCCAGCCAAACUGAGCAAUCUGGUGAGAAGGGCCUUGGUCAGGGAGGUGAUCAAGAACCCAAUGGUCACUCUGACAGAGCUCAAAAGUUCCUCUGUGGAGAUAGGAGAACCUUCCAGAAGGACAACCAUCUCUGCAGCAGGCCUUUAUGGUAGUGGCCAGACAGAAGCCACUCCUCAGUAAAAGGCACCUAAAGCCCCUCAGAACAUGACAAACAAGAUUUUCUGCUCUAAUGAAACCAAGACCGAACUCUUUCACCUGAAAGCCAAGCGGAAUGUCUGGAGGAAAAUGGCACCAUCCCUACGGUGAAGCAUGGUGGUGGCAGUAUCAUGCUGUGUUGAUGUUUUUCAGCAGCAGGGACUAGGAAACUAAACAAGAUUGAGGGAAAGAUGAAUGGAGCAAAGUACAGAGAUCCUUGAUAAAAACCAGUUCAAGAGCGCUCAGGAUCUUAGACUGGGGCAAAGGUUCACCUUCCAACAGGACAACAACCCUAAGAACAUAGCCACUCCUGCAUUCUUGGCUUCGGGAAAAGUCUCAAUAUCCUUGAGUGGCCCAGCGACGCUCCUCAUCCAACCUGAUAGAGCUCUAGAGGAUCUGCAGAGAAUAAUGGGAGAAACUCCCCAAAUACAGGUGUGCCAAGCUUGUAGUGUCAUACCCAAAAAGACUCGAGGCUGUAAUCGCUGCCGAAGGUGAUUCAACAGGGUCUGAAUACUUAUGUAAAUGUGAUAUUUCAGUUGAUUAUUUAUACAUUUGCAAACAUUUAUAAAAAAACGUUUUUCUUUGUCAUUAUGGGGUAUUGUGUAUAGAUUGAGGGGGAGAAAACAAUUUAAUCCAUUGUAGAAUAAUUGUGUAACGUAACAAAACAUGGGAGUCAAGGGGUCUGAAUACUUUCAGAAUGCACUGUAUGUUAUUGCCUAUGCAUUCAUUUCCCCAUCGUGUACAACAGCAAGUGUAAAUAACAUGCUUACACUAACAUGUUGAACAGCAGAACCAGGCAGUCUUCCAUUGUUCACCAGUCCUACCAUUAUUCUAUCAUCCCUUUCCCAGGAAGAGCAUAGUGUUGUAGGGGAGGGAGGGAUGGAGAGGUGGAUAGGGCAUGGCCUGAACCCUGUGCCCCCCGCCAUACUAAAUUUAUACACAUGCCCCUCCCUGAAAAGUCCCCCGUGGUUAAUUAUCACACUGACUAUCAGUAGAGAAGUAGGCUAGAGAGGAAGCACUCUAGUGUUGCCCGACUGAAACGUAUGUUAUUAUUACACAACACCAGUGUUGAGACGAGAAAACACGUGGCGUGACUCGUCUGAUGAACCAGGUUGAGGUCAUAGACAUGUGUAAACAAAAACACUAAUGUGUCAAUUAACGUAAAGUGGUCUACACUACUGCUAUUGGGGUCCUGGAGAAAAGACGACACCAAAGGGUUGUUGCACCACGUGUGUUGAAGUCCAGAACUCCCUACAACAGACUCCAGACUAUCUACAGGCCUACAAGCCCUCAGUCCAGCCUUUCUCAGCCUAUUGUGGACAGUCUGAGCACUGAUGGAGGGACUGUGCGUUCCUGGUGUAACUCGGGCAGUUGUUGCCAUCCUGUACCUGUCCCACAGUUGUGAUGUUCGUAUGUACCGAUCCUGUGCAGGUGUUGUUACACGUGGUCUGCCACUGCGAGGAAGAUCAGCUGUCCCCCCCGUCUCCCUGUAGUGCUGUCUUCCGCGACUCAUAGUACGGACAUUGCAAUUUUUUUGCUCUGGCCACAUCUGCAGUCCUCAUGCCUCCUUGCAGCAUGCCUAAGGCACGUUCACACAGAUGAGCAGGGACCCUGGGGAUCUUUCUCUUGGUGUUUUUCAGAGUCAGUAGAAAGGCCUCUUUAGUGUCUUAAGUUUUCAUAACUGUGACCUUAAUUUCCUACCGUCUAAGCGCCUUAACGACCGUUCCACAGGUGCAUGUUCAUUAAUUGUUUAUGGUUCAUUGAACAAGCAUGGGAAACAGUGUUUUAAACCCUUUACAAUAGAGAUCUGUUAAGUUAUUUGGAAUUUUUCAGAACGAACAGCUGUCAAAAUCCAUUCACACAUUCACUCACACUUCUCCAUCAGGCUUGGGGAUUGCUAUCAACACGAGAUGCACUUCCCAUUCCCACUCUCUCUCAAAAAAAAAGACCAAAUAGAUUAAAAGCUGAUUAAUCGCUUUCAAUUUGAGGAUCGAUUUGUAUUCAAAAUACUUCAGAUUGUGAUUUUUUUCUGAAAGGGUUGCAAUUUCAUUUCUAAAAAAUCCAGACAGAUUGUAAAACUUAAUACAGAUCACGGAAGCACAGAGUUUAAAACAGCAAAGCUGACAAAUUGCACUCAGUGCUUUGAGCAGCACUCUCCAUAGACAGACUGGGGAGAGCAGAGGGCUGACCACCCUACUAAAGCCAAGGUUAGACUGGGGAGAGCAGAGUGCCACCCACCCUACUAAAGCCAAGGUUGGUCUGGGGAGAGCAGAGUGCCGACCACCCUACUAAAGCCAAGGUUAGUCUGGGGAGAGCAGAGUGCCGACCACCCUACUAAAGCCAAGGUUAGUCUGGGGAGAGCAGAGUGCCGACCACCCUACUAAAGCCAAGGUUAGUCUGGGGAGAGCAGAGUGCCGACCACCCUACUAAAGCCAAGGUUAGUCUGGGGAGAGCAGAGUGCCGACCACCCUACUAAAGCCAAGGUUAGUCUGGGGAGAGCAGAGUGCCGACCACCCUACUAAAGCCAAGGUUAGUCUGGGGAGAGCAGAGUGCCGACCACCCUACUAAAGCCAAGGUUAGACUGGGGAGAGCAGAGUGCCGACCACCCUACUAAAGCCAAGGUUAGUCUGGGGAGAGCAGAGUGCCGACCACCCUACUAAAGCCAAGGUUAGUCUGGGGAGAGCAGAGUGCCGACCACCCUACUAAAGCCAAGGUUAGUCUGGGGAGAGCAGAGUGCCGACCACCCUACUAAAGCCAAGGUUAGCGGAGUAAAAGUUUGAGUAAAACGCCGCACCUUGAUUCUUUCAGCGCUUGCCAGUCAUCCUUGCUACUACUUCAGUCAUGGUGAACUGUCCUUGCUGUGGGAACUGUUCUGACAUUCUCAUAUGCUUUACUGAUUCCAAGUGACUUGAUUGUUGACUUUCUCUCGUUUCCAAAAAACAUUUGGAAAUUGUUGUACACGGUUUUUAGCUGUUAUUUUUGUUGGCAAAUGAGAUGGACUUCUGUUCAUUGCACCGCCUGUCAGCCAUCAACAAUCACCUAUCAUCUUCACACGUGAAUAGACUGACAGCAAGGGGGAUUGCCAACAGUGCAGUAAACCCGCUUUUGAUUAGACCCUUUUACAUGCAAAAAGUGCAGGAAUUUGUAAAAAUUGCACUGUCUCACAUAAUAUGCGCUGAUUGGUUGAUUUUGCAUUGAAUUAUAUGAUUGCAGAAUCCUGGAGAGACUGACUUUAAGAAAUGAAAGUUAGUCAAUACAGAAAAUGUAGAGAACUUUGAAAGUUUAUUCAAGUGCAGUCGCAAAAAAUAUCAAGCGCUAUGAUGAAACUGGCUCUCAUGAGGACCGCCACAGGAACGGAAGACCCAGAGUUACCUCUGCUAAAACCACUACUAAAGGACACCAAUAAGAACAAAAGACUUGCUUGGGCCAAGAAACACAAGCAAUGGACAAUUUGAUAAUUUCUUCUUUGGUCUUGAGUCCAAAUUUGAGAUUUUUGGUUCCAACCGCCAUGUCUUUGUGAGAUGCCGUGUGGGUGAACGGAUGAUCUCUGCAUGUAUAUUUCCCACCGUGAAGCAUGGAGGAGGUGGUGUUAUGGUGUUUUGCUGGUGACACUGGCUGUGAUUUAUUUAGAAUUCAAGGCAUACUUAACCAGUAUGACUACCACAGCAUUCUGCAGCGAUAUGCCAUCCCAUCUUGUUUGGGCUUAGUGGGGCUAUAAUUUGUUUUUCAACAGGACAAUCACCCAACCCACCUCCAGGCUCUGUAAGGGCUAUUUUACCAAGGACGAGUGAUGCAUCAGAUGACCUGGCCUCCACAAUCCCCCGACAUCAACCAAAUUGAGAUGGUUUGGGAUGAGUCGGACCGCAGAGUGAAGGAAAAGAAGCCAACAGGUUCUCAGCAUACAUGGAAACUCCUUCAAGACUGUUGGAAAAGAUUUCCAGGUGAAGCUGGUUGAGAGAAACCCAAGAGUGUGCAAAGCUGACAGCAAGACAAAGGGUGGCGCCAUUGAUGAAUCUCAAAUAUAUUUAGAUUUUUUUUUUAACAACACUUUUUGGUUACUACAUGAUUCCAUAUGUGUUUUCAUAGUUCUGAUGUCUACACUAUGAUUCUACAAAUUGUAAAAAAUAAAGAAAACCCAAUGUAUGAG